AUGAACGCUGGCGGCGUGCCUAAUCCCUUCCAGUCGAGCGAACAGACGAGGAGCUUGCUCCUCUGACGUUAGCGGCGGACGGGUGAGUAACACGUGGAUAACCUACCUAUAAGACUGGGAUAACUUCGGGAAACCGGAGCUAAUACCGGAUAAUAUAUUGAACCGCCUGGUUCAAUAGUGAAAGACGGUUUUGCUGUCACUUAUAGAUGGAUCCGCGCCGCAUUAGCUAGUUGGUAAGGUAACGGCUUACCAAGGCGACGAUGCGUAGCCGACCUGAGAGGGUGAUCGGCCACACUGGAACUGAGACACGGUCCAGACUCCUACGGGAGGCAGCAGUAGGGGAUCUUCCGCAAUGGGCGAAAGCCUGACGGAGCAACGCCGCGUGAGUGAUGAAGGUCUUCGGAUCGUAAAACUCGGUUAUUAGGGAAGAACAAAUGUGUAAGUAACUAUGCACGUCUUGACGGUACCUAAUCAGAAAGCCACGGCUAACUACGUG
rnacentral:rRNA from 1 species